rnacentral:lncRNA from 10 species
UAUGGAGUAGCCAUUCUUUUAUUCGAAUACUUUACUCUCCUAACAAACUUGCUUUCAUUUUACUCUACAGACUCACCCUGAAUUCUUUCUUGCACUUGCUCUAAGAACCCUCUCUUGGGGUCUGGAUCCGGACCGCUUUCUGCUAACACUUCUACAUACCACGUUUAUUUGAGACAGAAAAAUACAGCAAGGACAUCCAUCUAAACUUUGUCUGGAGUCUGGGCCCAGGGGAGCUGCAGUACAUGGAGGGUCUCUGGAAGUGGGUAUGGCAGAUUAGCGCCUAAGCUCAACUGGCUUUCCUCCUCUGCCUCUGUUCCUGGGACUUGCUCACGGCUCACAAGGUAGCUUCCCACUGUCAGUCCAUCAGCAACAGCCAGUUAGAGUCGAUUGGGUGUGAGAAGCGAGACUAUUCAUAAGCAGCCUGUCCCCUGUGCCACUGGCUUAUUAAGCAGAGCUAGGCAUAGACAGCUGGGAACUCUGGGCAGCUCCUUUAAAUUUCUCUUUGAAGAAUGUUAAGUAUUCACCAGCAGUGAAGGUUACAAAGGCUGAAGUUUUCUCUCCACCCCCAGCAUUUCCCAGGGGAGUAAAAGGAAGGAUCAAAGCUACAAUGGGCUUGGCUGCCCUUCUCCAGGAAUGGCCAGAGGACAACUUCUGCUUGGAAAGUUCCUGGAUACUUCUGGAACAGAAUUCUCCUGGGGUGAGUGGUUCACACAACUGACCCACUUCAUCCCCACUCAGCAAAAUGAGAGCGCCGUUGACUGACAACAAAAUGCUGAACUGGAAACCUCCGCAGUAAAACGUGAUGCAGAACAGAGAAAGAACUAAGAUGUUCUGCACAGACGGUAUCAUGCCCUCUAUGAGGAAACUACUCGAGCAUAUCUGUGUUUCAAAUGAUGUCUUUGAACUAUUUAUGUUAAAUGCCCCCCCAAAAAAAUGGAAAGGCUUCUUCGUAGAGGAAAGAGCUUGAAGUUGCUAGGCUGUUCUGCCUUCAACAGGCAUUUAUUGUGCAGCUACAAAAUGCUGCACCAAGCACUGGGCAGUGGAAAGGUGAUUCAGACACAGUUCCUUUGACAAAACCUCAAAAUCCCAUGUGAAGUUCUCUUUUAUAAAGUAAAUCAGAAAAGAUUCAAAAGUUGAGGUACCAAAAAAAAAUAAUAUAAAUGCAAGUAGUAAAGCGCUAUUGACUGUAAAUAGAAGCACUUAAUAAGUGGUUGUUGUUUCUGUUCUUCUCUCUAAUAAGUGUAUACAGGUGGCUAAAUGCUUUUGUUGAGCUAUGAGUACCUCAUUCUGUGGAGUGACUCAGAAAGUCUCUAGGUGUUAGACUGGAAACAGGUGAUGUUCAGUGCACGCAAUGCUUGAAGUGUUCCCAGGUAUUUAGUUUCAGGUAAAUUUUACUGUUUAAAAAAAUUGUUUUUACUUGCUAUUAAGUGUGUUGACCUUGGAUAAUUUACUUAACCUCUCUAUGCCUUGCUUCCUUUUCUGCAAAAUGAGAGUAAGAAAAGUGCUUACCUCAUUGGCUUUUUGUGAAAUUCAAUGAGUUAACACGUGGGAGAAAAGAUGUUUUUAAAUAAUCAAUUCUUAGCAGUUGGUCAUUGUUAUGAGUUACAUCAUGCGUAGUUAAAUAUUUUUUAAAAAAUUAAAAUUUAUUUUCCUAUAGGAAAAAGGAGGGACUGAAUUGUGAAUCCAUUUUCUCUGCUUUCAGUUAUUUCUACUCCUGAGAAAAACCCUAAGCACUUAGGGUCUAGAACCACAUCCCGAGACGGUGAGCUCUUCCCACAUUUUCACAUGUGCCUGAAUCAUUUGUAGGUCUCGUUCAAGCAGAGAAUCUCCGGGAUUCUCACUCGGGAGGUCUGGGGUCGGGCCUGAGUCCUUGCAUUUCUAACAAACUCCCAGUUGAUGCUGGUGCCACUGGUUCUGAAUUAAGAUGCUUGUUUACCUAGUGACAGCAACAAAAAUUGUAGCAAUGGUAUCCAGAAAUAAACAGCAUACUUUUAUAGGGCUAGUCAAAUGAACCCAAACAUACAAAAUAAAGGCAAACCUCACAAUCUUCUUGCAAUGAUUUAUUACUCUGAGAGCUCAUUUUAGGUGAGAUUGUCUCCCUCCGGAGCCUGAUUCCUAAAAGCUUUCUAUGACUUUGAAAUUAUCGUUUUCCUUUUGGAGGUAGCACAAUAUAAGAGCUAAGAAGAGAAUGAGAACUGGAGUCCCUCCCAGGUUUGCCCCUCUAGGUAUGUAAGCUAAGGUAAACUACUUAGCCUUUCUUAAGCCUCAGUUUUCUCAUUACAAAUGGGCAUAUACGGAACAUUGGCUUGCCUCCUACAGUUGUUUGAGGACUCAAUGAAAAUGUACGUGAAGCUGGUUGCGGUGAGCUGAGAUUGUGCCACUGCACUCCAGCCUUGUGACACAGCGAGACUCCGUCUCAAAAAAAUAAAUAAAUAAAUAAAUAAAAAUAAAAGACUGG